CCAGUAGUCAUAUGCUUGUCUCAAAGAUUAAGCCAUGCAUGUCUAAGUUCACACCCUCGUACGGUGAAACCGCCAAUGGCUCAUUAAAUCAGUCGAGGUUCCUUAGAUGAUCCAUUUCUACUUGGAUAACUGUGGUAAUUCUAGAGCUAAUACAUGCCCAACAGCUCCGACCCCGUCUUCGCGGGCGGGGAAAGAGCGCUUUUAUUAGUUCAAAACCAGUCGGGGGUUUCGGCCCUCGUGCUUUGGUGACUCUGGAUAACUUUGAGCCGAUCGCAUGGCCUCGAGCCGGCGACGCAUCUUUCAAAUGUCUGCCCUAUCAAAUGACGACGGUACGUGAUCUGCCUACCGUGUUGACUACGGGUAGCGGGGAAUCAGGGUUCGAUUCCGGAGAGGGAGCAUGAGA
rnacentral:rRNA from 1 species